GGCGGGUGCGCUGCGACCGUUGGCGGGCGGAGCGGCUGUGGGGAGGUGGGCUGUUGUCCCAUUCGUGCUGUUUGAACCCCGUUGGUCAGAUUCUGGGAGCUGCACUGCUGUUGUAGCUGAAGGUUGGAGCAUCAGAUGCUGUAUAUGAGGGCUGCUCCAAAAGUAAUGCCUUCUAUUUUAUCAUGUUGGCUCACUGGUGGUACAGCAGUAGAGGUCGAACCUCCCCAUCUCCCUCCCCAUUACAUCCUGUUGCUGAAUGACAGAUGGCAGCAGAGGGACACUCUGACAGAAUGGUGUCUGACAUGGAGGUGCGUUUGAAGCAAAAGUAUGUCAUUGAAUUCCUCCGCGUGGAAAAAAUAGCACCCAUUGACGCUUGCUGGAUGGUUCUGGUGUGAAGUGGUGAUGAGUAAACUCUCCAUAAAGAAAAGGUUCACAACGAGCCCUCAGCAAGUAAGGUGUCAUGCACUGCCUGCUGGCAGAGCAACCUGGCCGAACCAUCAGCUCUGAGUGCUACCCUGCCUGCUGGCUGGGCCGAGGGCUCCAACUUCCACCUGGCUGCCACGAGGUCAGUGAUGUUACAUAUCACCGUGUGCACUCAGAGCUGGGAAUCUCUGAGAUGCUUUAGACUGGUAAAUAGCCAUUAUACAGAAGCUUCGAUUAAAAA